GGUCAAGUGAAGAAGCGCAUACGGUGGAUGCCUUGGCAGUCAGAGGCGAUGAAAGACGUGGUAGCCUGCGAAAAGCUUCGGGGAGUCGGCAAACAGACUUUGAUCCGGAGAUGUCUGAAUGGGGGAACCCAGCCAUCAUAAGAUGGUUAUCUUGUACUGAAUACAUAGGUGCAAGAGGCGAACCAGGGGAACUGAAACAUCUAAGUACCCUGAGGAAAAGAAAUCAACCGAGAUUCCCUUAGUAGUGGCGAGCGAACGGGGACUAGCCCUUAAGUGGCUUUGAGAUUAGCGGAACGCUCUGGAAAGUGCGGCCAUAGUGGGUGAUAGCCCUGUACGCGAAAAUCUCUUAGUCAUGAAAUCGAGUAGGACGGAGCACGAGAAACUUUGUCUGAAUAUGGGGGGACCAUCCUCCAAGGCUAAAUACUACUGACUGACCGAUAGUGAACUAGUACCGUGAGGGAAAGGCGAAAAGAACCCCGGAGAGGGGAGUGAAAUAGAUCCUGAAACCGUAUGCGUACAAGCAGUGGGAGCCCACUUUGUUGGGUGACUGCGUACCUUUUGUAUAAUGGGUCAGCGACUUAUUUUCAGUGGCGAGCUUAACCGAAUAGGGGAGGCGUAGCGAAAGCGAGUCUUAAUAGGGCGUCUAGUCGCUGGGAAUAGACCCGAAACCGGGCGAUCUAUCCAUGGGCAGGUUGAAGGUUGGGUAACACUAACUGGAGGACCGAACCGACUACCGUUGAAAAGUUAGCGGAUGACCUGUGGAUCGGAGUGAAAGGCUAAUCAAGCUCGGAGAUAGCUGGUUCUCCUCGAAAGCUAUUUAGGUAGCGCCUCAUGUAUCACUGUAGGGGGUAGAGCACUGUUUCGGCUAGGGGGUCAUCCCGACUUACCAAACCGAUGCAAACUCCGAAUACCUACAAGUGCCGAGCAUGGGAGACACACGGCGGGUGCUAACGUCCGUCGUGAAAAGGGAAACAACCCAGACCGUCAGCUAAGGUCCCAAAGUUAUGGUUAAGUGGGAAACGAUGUGGGAAGGCUUAGACAGCUAGGAGGUUGGCUUAGAAGCAGCCACCCUUUAAAGAAAGCGUAAUAGCUCACUAGUCGAGUCGGCCUGCGCGGAAGAUGUAACGGGGCUCAAACCAUACACCGAAGCUACGGGUAUCACGUAAGUGAUGCGGUAGAGGAGCGUUCUGUAAGCCUGUGAAGGUGAGUUGAGAAGCUUGCUGGAGGUAUCAGAAGUGCGAAUGCUGACAUGAGUAACGACAAUGGGUGUGAAAAACACCCACGCCGAAAGACCAAGGUUUCCUGCGCAACGUUAAUCGACGCAGGGUUAGUCGGUCCCUAAGGCGAGGCUGAAAAGCGUAGUCGAUGGAAAACAGGUUAAUAUUCCUGUACUUCUGGUUAUUGCGAUGGAGGGACGGAGAAGGCUAGGCCAGCUUGGCGUUGGUUGUCCAAGUUUAAGGUGGUAGGCUGGAAUCUUAGGUAAAUCCGGGAUUCUAAGGCCGAGAGCUGAUGACGAGCUAACUUU
rnacentral:rRNA from 1 species